rnacentral:lncRNA from 1 species
UUAGGUAUGGAGCUUGAAGCUAAAUCUACAUCAAAACUCAUACUUCAAGAUGAGUGAAGGCCUUGAGAAUAUCGGAAUAAAAGGCCAAUGAGAGGGCCACCUCUGAGAAAAAGUAAGCUGAUGAGGAUGGGGCUCGUGCUGACAGGAAGAAGUUCCCUGCUAGGAGGUAAUGAAAAAGGCUGAGGAGACUGAAGUCCAAUCUGCCCAAAGCAGUUAAGCUAUGGAGGAAAUCGCCUGAGUUUGAUGCCCUAGCUCAAGAUGAUUACAUCGCCAGCUUGGUGGAUGUAAUUAAGCAUAUCAAGCAGAUGCGACUGGACUUUGACGUAGUUUUCAUUUAGGGAGCUUUGGAUGAGCAGAGGACUACUUUGCAAAAGAUGUCUACUACAGCAAGGGCAGUCAUCUCUUCCCUGGCAGAAGACAAAAGUCUUGACGUGGAUGCCUCGGAUCAGCUCAACCAGCUAUUCGCCUGACUUGUCUUUCU